rnacentral:rRNA from 1 species
UAAGUGGAAAGCGGCGGACGGGUGAGUAACGCGUGGGUAACCUGCCCCAUACAAAGGGAUAGCCACUGGAAACGGUGAUUAAUACCAUAUGAGAUCGUAGAGUCGCAUGACUCAGCGGUUAAAGAUUUAUCGGUAUGGGAUGGACCCGCGUCUGAUUAGCUAGUUGGUAAGGUAACGGCUUACCAAGGCGACGAUCAGUAGCCGACCUGAGAGGGUGAUCGGCCACACUGGAACUGAGACACGGUCCAGACUCCUACGGGAGGCAGCAGUGGGGAAUAUUGCACAAUGGGCGCAAGCCUGAUGCAGCAACGCCGCGUGAGCGAUGAAGGCCUUCGGGUCGUAAAGC